UAUAUAGAAUUUCAAAAUAUUAAAGAAGGUGAAAAAGAAAGCCGAAAGACGAUGCGCAAACAAAAGAGUAUAAAUUCAGUGAUGAUGGUAGUCUUGAUAUUUGGAUAGAGCAAAAAUUGGAAUUGUAUAUGCCAAGAUUUUCCUAAGAUUGCCAAAGUCGUGUACAAUUUGAACUUCAAUAUUGUUCCAAAAUAAAAGUAAUAGACACGGAAAAUGUAUUAUUUAAAAAUACAGGACAGGAAACGAAAAGGUUAAAGCUAUUGGAAACACCUUUGAUCGCUCGCCAGAUAUCCCGCGCGAAGCUUGAAAACUUGAAAACAACUUGCGAAAACAGAGCACGGUUCGUAAUUAAAUGAGUAAGAAAAAUUACUGUUGAGUAUAGAACCUUGUUUGUAUUUAUUUGGCAUAUUGAAGAAGGGCAGUAGGCUCUUUAUAUACCUACCGUGAGAAGCCUCAGCAUAGAGAUCCAUUUUCGGUCGGUCAAAGAGUUCAGCCCAUUUGAUUAUCUAAAGCAUAGUAUUCCAAUUUGAGGCAUCAAAAGCGAAUUCUUUAUCUUUAAUAAAUCCAUAGAAUAUCUUUUUGAUGGGUAAUCUGCGAAGUAAAUACGUAAAGAAAUUUUGGUGUUUAACGACUGUUUGACUUCAUAUAUCGCGGUCGUUUAUAUUAAUUGAUGAGCGCAUUGCAAAGAAAAUUUCUUUUUAGAUUUUGUACUCGUGAACAAUUGUGCUGAUGCGCUGAAGUUUUACUUUAUAAAUCGCAGCCUAUAUACGAGAGUUUGGUUUGAAUUGCACUCGGUAUAUUAUGGAAUUGGUACACUAGCCGUUAGUCAUAUCUUCCUUUAUAUAUAAUUUAUAAAAAUACUCUUUCCUGUAAUCUAAUUCCAUCCUUUACUUCUCUAAACCCGAAAACGAAAUCAGUAAACAUUAACGCGUACA